rnacentral:rRNA from 1 species
GAUGAACGCUGGCGGCGUGCCUAAUACAUGCAAGUCGAGCGAACAGACGAGGAGCUUGCUCCUCUGACGUUAGCGGCGGACGGGUGAGUAACACGUGGAUAACCUACCUAUAAGACUGGGAUAACUUCGGGAAACCGGAGCUAAUACCGGAUAAUAUAUUGAACCGCAUGGUUCAAUAGUGAAAGACGGUUUUGCUGUCACUUAUAGAUGGAUCCGCGCCGCAUUAGCUAGUUGGUAAGGUAACGGCUUACCAAGGCAACGAUGCGUAGCCGACCUGAGAGGGUGAUAGGCCACACUGGAACUGAGCCACGGUCCAGACUCCUACGGGAGGCAGCAGUAGGGAAUCUUCCGCAAUGGGCGAAAGCCUGACGGAGCAACGCCGCGUGAGUGAUGAAGGUCUUCGGAUCGUAAAACUCUGUUAUUAGGGAAGAACAAAUGUGUAAGUAACUAUGCACGUCUUGACGGUACCUAAUCAGAAAGCCCCGGCUAACUACGUG